UGGGAUAUAGCUUACUUGGUAGAGCUCUUGCCUAGCACACAUGAAGCUCUGGGUUUGAUCCCCAGUACCCCCC
rnacentral:tRNA from 1 species